rnacentral:lncRNA from 1 species
CUCGGCCGGCCCGAGCCUCAAUAUGGCUUCCGUAAGACUCGCUCGAAAACAGUAAGGACAGCACCGAAGCGCCGUACUGGCGUGCCCGUCGAUUCUCGCUCCGCGCAUCACCCUUUUCCCAAGUGUUUUUCAAGUGCAAUUUCGGUGCGUGCCGCUUUUUUACCCGCAGUUCUCGUGUGUGCGUUUCCGUCACGUUCGUCGCAGGUGUUUCCCACCCGCGCCACGAAUCCGCUAACCUGUUGGUACGUAAACGGAUCCGUUGAAAUUAACACAAGUAUGAAGUGCGUCAACCGCGUCAUCGUCUUUUGCGGUGGUUAAAACGACAUCCGACCGAUCGUCGGACGUUUUAAAAUGUGAUUUGUUCGAGUGAAUUCAACUCUGAAGAGCUGAGUCUCCUCGCUGUUGUGCUGAAUGCAACUCUUGCCACAGUUGUUGCACUGAGUGUUCAUCGAGUGUGUGUUGAAUCAAGUGCCCUCUAAAGGAUGAUACUCGGAUUUUAAUUAGAUAUUCGUCGCUGUUAUCGCUGAUUUUUGCACCUGCCGCCAUGAAGAUUUGUGGAAUCGUUGAGCGGGACAGACUCAGGGAGAGGGACCGCCAGGCCAGGGCCCAAAUGUCCUCGCAGGCCGAGCGGGAGGCCGAGGCUCCUCUGUUCGGCGACCCCGUCAGGGUGCCGCCGAACUUGAGCGACCGGACGACGCAGCAGAUCCAGUCUCACCUGGGGAACUUCGACACGGUGAAGCACUGCCUCGUAGACCAACUCUACGGCGUGCCCCCGGCCUCCCCCGCCCCCCGCCGCCUCCUCAUCGUCCUCCUCCUCCUCGGCCGCCGCCAACCCCCCGGUCCACGAGUUCAAAAAACCCCCGCACCACCACGCCACCGGCAGGUCAACGUCUUCCGGCUCACACCACCACCAUCCCGCCCCCAGAGGCGGCUUCGUGAAACCGGCGGACGGUAAACCACCGUACAGUGGGCGGGGUUUCUACCCGGGUCAGCCGGUGAAGCACGGCGGAGUCGGUGGGAGCUCGAGCA